AUUGUGGAUUUCAUGGUUAAAAUUUUUCAGAUUUUACACACAUUUUUUGUUGAUUAGGAUUUUUCAAAUAACUUACAAGCAGAAGUUGUAAAAUAGUUUCAUUUAAAGGUCCAGCAAAUAUGGAUAUUUCUCAGUGAGCAGAUGGUGAACUGAGAACUGUGGCCACUACACAUAGUAGAAAACAAUGAAAAAAAUGACUUGCCUUGUACUUGAGCAAAAAACAUCCCUUGCUGCGUACAAGUUUAAGAUGACGCACGAUUCGAUAUAGGAUGAGGUGAAUACG